rnacentral:misc_RNA from 1 species
AUACAUAGAUGUUUGUAUAUUAUGUAAGUGUUCCACGGUAACAAUUAUAAUCUUGAUCAUCUAUCCCAUCCCUAAUCCUAAUGUCUUUUUCAAAAUUAUUCUGUUUGAAAAAUGAAGCCCAUUAUUUUUCAUUUUAAGAAUAAUAUGUACACAAGAUGCUAAUUUCUGCACGUGUUUUCUUGGCUUUACCUAUCAAUUAGGCCUUAUAACUUGAAUCUUUAAGCAUAGAAAACAAUCCUAGCAUGUUUUGGCUAGUGGCACAGUUUAGUUUCAUCGGUUAUAAUGAGUUCAAUAUUUGAGUAUACAUCAUUUGGUUCUUAAUGGAUUCUCAUCUCUGAUAUUAUUAUUAUUAUUA